GAAAGUUCCGGCGGUACAGGAUGAGUCUGCAUCUGAUUAGCUAGUUGGUGGUGUAAUGGACUACCAAGGCGACGAUCAGUAGCUGGUUUGAGAGGAUGAUCAGCCACAAUGGGACUGAGACACGGCCCAUACUCCUACGGGAGGCAGCAGUAGGGAAUUUUGCGCAAUGGGCGAAAGCCUGACGCAGCAACGCCGCGUGAUCGAGACGCCCUUCGGGGUGUAAAGAUCUGUCAGUGGGGACGAAACUUGACGGUACCCACAGAGGAAGCACCGGCUAACUCCGUGCCAGCAGCCGCGGUAAUACGGGGGGUGCAAGCGUUGUCCGGAAUCAUUGGGCGUAAAGAGUUCGUAGGCGGCACGUAAAGUCUGGUGUUAAAGGCAGAGGCUCAACUUCUGUACGGCACUGGAUACUUGCGAGCUAGAAUGCGGUAGAGGUAAAGGGAAUUCCUGGUGUAGCGGUGAAAUGCUUAGAUAUCAGGAGGAACAUCGGUGGCGUAAGCGCUUUACUGGGCCGUAAUUGACGCUGAGGAACGAAAGCCAGGGUGGCAAAUGGGAUUAGAUACCCCAGUAGUCCUGGCCGUAAACGAUGGAUACUAGGUGUUGCGGGUAUCGACCCCUGCA
rnacentral:rRNA from 1 species